AAACGAUCCAGGACUCAUCCCACCUCGUCAAGCUCCUCCUGCGGAGUCCGCACCCCUACUCUCUCCCCUCUCCCUCGCGGGUUCUUGCCCUCCGACCCGCGGCCGCCAGCCUCUGCCGAUCGACGGUGCUCCGAUCUCCGCUGCCAAUCACUCAGGCCGACCGACCCCCUUCCGUUGGCGACGCUGUCGCCGCCCCUCGGAUCGCCGGCCCGCUUUCCUCUCUGGUUAUUCCUGCCAUAAGCUGAAUACUAUCAAUAAAUAUGCAGCCCAUGGGGAAUGAUAAGCCAACAAAUGUUCCUGGAAGACCUGUGUCACCCUUUCGAGCAGCCCCACAGUCUUCGACACCUUUCAUAUCUUCGGGUCCUGUUGUCGGCUUGGAGGCAUCUGGUGCUUCGCGAGCCACAACCCCCUUUUUAUCUUCAGGGCCUGGGACCAUCUUGGGGGCAUCAGGCACUCCACAAACCACAGUACCAUUUUUAUCCUCAGGGCCCAUUACUGGCACUCAGAUGUCCAAUUAUAGAUCACCACCACCACCACCAGUUAGGUAUAAUGGUCCGUCCAGUCCACCCCCUCCAACAUCUUACCCCGCCCAAGAUGCAACUACGUAUCAGCAAACACAAGCUCCUAGGUUUCCUCCUCCUGGUCAACCUGUAACGCCCUUCCGGGGUCCCGUGGGUUCUUCUGGUCCAUCCCCUAGUGGAUCUUUUCGUCCUCAGCCCCAGAUUCCCUCAGUGCCAAUGGGCCCUCCACCCCAAACUGCAACCCAAAUGUCAUCUAGAAGUAAUAUGCCCCCACCACUGUCAGAGUCAUCAUUCUCUGCAACCAGACCACCUCCUCAGCCAUCUUUGCAAGGAUAUUCCUAUGGUCUCCCGAGAGGUAACAUGCCCCCCGCUUCUGCAGAGCCGCAGUUGCCUGCUCCUAGAUCAGUUUCGCAACCACCAUUGCAGCAGGCUUUUCCAUCUUCUCAUGUUCCUCCAGUUCAUGCUUCUUAUCAUGCUCACCAAGGAGGUGUUGUACCACCACCACCACCUCCUAUAGGAGGUCCUCUGGGUUACAAUUCAAGAGAACAAAUUCAAUACCCUAACAUAGGACCUCCUAUAGGAGGUAAUCUUCAAGGUCUGGUUGAAGAGUUCCAGUCAUUGUCCGUUGGGUCAGCUCCUGGGUCACUUGAUCAUGGUGUUGAUGUCAAAUCUUUGCCAAGGCCACUAAGUGGUGAUGAAGAGCCUAUUAAAAUUCUUGAGACAUUCCCUUUAAAUUGCCACCCAAGAUUUUUGAGACUGACAACUUAUGCAAUACCGAGUUCUCAGUCAUUGCUUGCUAGGUGGCAUUUGCCUCUUGGAGCAGUGGUUCAUCCUCUAGCAGAAGUUCCUGAUGGGGAGGAAGUACCAAUUGUCAAUUUUGGACCAGCUGGCAUUAUUCGGUGUCGAAGAUGUCGAACAUAUGUGAAUCCAUACGUGACUUUCACGGAUGCAGGAAGGAAGUGGCGUUGCAACAUCUGUUCUCUGCUCAAUGAUGUUUCUGGGGAGUAUUAUUGUGCUUUGGAUGCUAGUGGCAGAAGAUGUGAUGUAGAUCAACGACCUGAGCUUUCUAAGGGAAGUGUGGAAUUUGUUGCUCCUACUGAAUAUAUGGUGCGACCACCAAUGCCACCACUAUAUUUUUUCCUUAUUGAUGUAUCGGUAUCUGCAGUUCGGUCUGGUUUUCUUGAGGUUGUGGCAACGACCAUUAAGUCUUGUCUUGAUGAACUACCUGGCUUCCCUAGGACACAGAUUGGCUUCUUAACUUUUGAUAGCACAUUACAUUUCCAUAAUUUAAAGUCUUCUUUGACACAGCCUCAAAUGCUGGUGGUGGCAGAUCUGGAUGAUAUAUUUUUACCAUUGCCUGAUGAUCUUCUUGUCAAUUUAUCUGAUUCUAGACAUGUUGUGGAUGCAUUACUGGAUAGCUUGCCUAGUAUGUUUCAGGACAAUGCAAACAUAGAAUCUGCCUUGGGCCCUGCUCUUAAAGCAGCAUUGAUGGUUAUGAGUCAACUUGGAGGGAAGUUGUUGGUGUUUCAGAGUACAUUACCUUCUAUUGGUGUUGGGCGCCUAAGACUACGUGGAGAUGAUCUUCGUAUUUAUGGAACAGAUAAAGAACAUACUUUACGGAUACCUGACGAUCCAUUUUAUAAACAGAUGGCCGCUGAAUUUACAAAGCAUCAGAUUGCGGUGGAUGUAUAUGCUUUCAGUGAAAAGUACACUGAUAUAGCUUCCUUAGGAUCUCUUGCGAAAUACACUGGUGGUCAGGUGUAUCAUUAUCCAUCAUUUCAGGCACCCACUCACCAGGAGAAACUUAGAUAUGAAUUGGCCAGGGAUCUCACCAGGGAAACCGCCUGGGAAUCUGUGAUGCGCGUUAGAUGUGGAAAAGGGGUGCGUUUUACAACGUAUCAUGGCCAUUUUAUGCUGAGAUCAACAGAUUUAUUAGCCCUUCCAGCUGUGGAUUGUGAUAAAGCCUUUGCAAUGCAAUUAUCUUUGGAAGACACCUUGAUGACAACACAGACUGUAUAUUUUCAAGUUGCGCUGCUAUAUACUUCCUCUUCAGGUGAAAGACGAAUUAGAGUCCAUACGGCAGCUGCACAUGUAGUAGCUGAUCUUGGAGAAAUGUACCGCCAGGCAGAUACUGGGGCCAUUAUCUUGUUAUUAAGCAGGCUUGCCGUUGAAAACACACUGUCUCAUAAGCUGGAAGAUGCUCGCCAGUUAAUGCAGCUAAAGCUUGUGAAAAGCCUUAAAGAGUACCGGAAUCUCCAUGUUGUGCAGCAUCGGUUGGGUGGGAGGCUGAUAUUUCCAGAAUCCUUGAGAUUCUUGCCAUUAUAUGUAUUGUCUCUUUGCAAGUCUUUAGCUCUUCGUGGAGGUUAUGCUGAUGUUCCUCUCGAUGAACGCUGUGCGGCUGGUUACAAUAUGAUGAUAUUACCUAUAAGAAGGAUGCUUAAACUUCUCUAUCCUGGUUUAUAUAGGAUAGAUGAGAACCUCAUAAAGGGUCCCGAGGAAUUUAAUGAGUCAUCUAAGCAGUUAGCCUUGAGUGCACAAAGCUUAGAUCCCAGAGCGCUGUAUAUUUAUGAUGAUGGAUUCAGCUUCAUUGUUUGGUUAGGCAGGAUGCUGUCACCUGAUAUAGUUAAUAAUACACUUGGAGUUGACUUAUCUGGAUUCCCUGAUCUAUCCAGGCUUGCAUUGCUUGAACAUGACAAUGAGUAUUCAAGAAAACUGAUGAGGAUAAUAAGAAGAUUGAGGGAGAAGGAUCCGUCCUGUUUUCAAUUAUGCCGUGUGGUGAGGCAAGGUGAACAGCCAAGAGAAGGUUCCUUGCUGCUUUCCAACCUCUUCGAGGAUCAGGCUGCUGGAACCAGUGGUUACGUUGAUUGGAUUCUCCAAAUAUACCGCCAAUUGCAGAGUUCAUGAAGAGGGUAACACAACUUCAGUCCUCUACCUUAUGGUGUCCCACUGGUCCUCAUUUUGUGUCACAAAGCAGAAUAGGUAUUCAGUUCAGAGCUCUGAGGCUUUUCAUGUUCUGAAGGAACCACUGAGCCUGAAUCAAGAGGUUAUACAGCUGCUGGAAUGAGAAACAAGGGAUUAAAUAUAUUCACUUUUUUUUGACUAUAAGAUGGUUCUUUUGAUAGCAGUAGAGCUUUGCUUUUCCAUUCUUUUCACAGAUUCCACAUAACUGCAAGCCUAGUGCAAUGUGGAUUCCAUAUCUGAACCAUAAGCCAAAUGCAUCGUAAAAUUAGCCAGCUUUGUUCUGUUUUUUUUUUUUUUUCAGUUCUAAAAACUUUUGGAAGCUGCAGAGUAUUUCCAAUCCUGGAUCGGUUAAAUAUGUUGCAUAUAUCAUCUUGUCAAUCUCUCCAGUUGUAUGCAAUUUUUCUAUAUGCUGAAUGAUUCGCCACAAUGGUCCAUAACAAUAAAAAGCUAAACUUAUGAAAUA